rnacentral:rRNA from 1 species
UACGAAGGGGGCUAGCGUUGCUCGGAAUCACUGGGCGUAAAGGGCGCGUAGGCGGAUCUUUAAGUCGGGGGUGAAAUCCCUCGGCUUAACCGAGGAACUGCCUCCCAAACUGCUUGGCUUGAGACCGGGAGAGGUGAGUGGAAUUCCCAGUGUAGCGGUGAAAUGCGUAGAUAUUGGGAGGAACACCAGUGGCGAAGGCGGCUCACUGGACCGGUACUGACGCUGAUGCACGAAAGCGUGGGGAGCAAACAGG